CAUUACUACACGACUAAAGAAACCAUCAUGCAAGCUGCAAGGACAUUGCAAACCCUCCCGGGAGAAUACAAAAAUAUUCAUCUCUUCACUGAUCUGUCUGCCGCCACAUUAGCGACAAGAAAAACCUUUCUCCACAUCACAAAAGCUCUACGUAUAGCGGACAGCCCUUACAAUUGGGGCUUCCUGGCAAGACUCAUUGUGCGGCACAAUGGUGCAG